rnacentral:rRNA from 2 species
GGGCCCGCACAAGCAGUGGAGUAUGUGGUUUAAUUCGACGCAACGCGAAGAACCUUACCAGGUCUUGACAUCCCGUGCAUAGCAUAGAGAUAUGUGAAACCCUUCGGGGCACGGUGACAGGUGGUGCAUGGUUGUCGUCAGCUCGUGUCGUGAGAUGUUGGGUUAAGUCCCGCAACGAGCGCAACCCUUAUCGUUAGUUACUACGCAAGAGGACUCUAGCGAGACUGCCGUUGACAAAACGGAGGAAGGUGGGGAUGACGUCAAAUCAGCAUGCCCUUUAUGACCUGGGCUACACACGUACUACAAUGGCCGUCAACAGAGAGAAGCGAAGCCGCGAGGUGGAGCAAAACUCAGAAAAACGGUCUCAGUUCGGAUUGGAGGCUGCAACCCGCCUCCAUGAAGCCGGAAUUGCUAGUAAUCGCGGAUCAGCAUGCCGCGGUGAAUACG